AUGAGGAAGCCGAGGCUCAGGGAGGCUGGUGCUCUCUGUUUCCCUCUACCGCUUGCAGUACACAGAGGGUUAAGGUGGAAGCUUUGCCCUCUGCAGCAGGCCCAGGCCUGGAUUUGGCUGCUUGUUCUGCCCUGGAGAAGCAAGGCCAACUGUCAACACAGGGUGACUUCAGGUCAUCUGUGGCUAUGCGCGGCCAGCCUGCCAAGGGGACUUGACGAGCGGGAUGAUCGCUGCUUUCCUCUCAGGCCUCACGGAGCUAGGGCACGCCUAUUCCUGUCAUGUCCGAGCUAUGAGACCUUGGGUCCCUUCACAUGAUAAAAGGCAGACUCUGAUGAGGCCGGUGGAGCAGUUCACCAGCCGAUGAUGAGAGCAGAAAGGCCUAGACCUGCAGCCAGAAGUGAAGGCGGCUCACUUCUCUGGGAUGCUUCUCUAACUCCUGAGCACCAAUUCCUGGAUUCCAGUCACUGGCUCACCUUUAGAAUGUCUGUUGCUAUUAUUCACUGCUCCCCUCGCUCCUCUUACCAGCUUGGGGAGGUGACCAGGAGGGACUAGACAGUUACCUGUCCUGUGUGGUAUGGUGGGAAGAGCGUAGGUGUUGGCAUGUGACCAAAAUUCACAUCCCUCCUCAUGGCAGUCAUUCAGUGUGUGUACUUGUGCAAGUUAUUUAACCCAUUGGAGCCUAAAUUCCCUCAUCUAUAAAAUGGUGAUAAUAUUAUGUACCUCACAAGUUGAUGAAAACUAAACACGAUGAAUCAAAAGCACUUGGCAUGUGAGGGCUAUUAAAAUAGCCUGAUUUUUUUUUUCUCCCUCUUUCUCCUAUGUAUUUGCUCUGGCCCUUGCUUUUUACCCUCCAGAGCUAAGGGGUAGCAGACAGAGUCUCUUGGGAUGAGUGGUUCACCCUCUUUUACUUGGCGACCACUGAUGAGGCCAACAACAAGUGAACUAUAAACAUAUUUAUUGCAGAAGUAAUUAAAAAAAAAACCUUGUAUUUGUACAUCUUUAUUAUUUCUAAAGCACUUUCUCCAACCUAAUUUCAGUUUUUACAAGUGGUACUCAAGAAAAUAAAGUAGGAAUUCAUUUGAUUUUGCCCA
rnacentral:lncRNA from 1 species